rnacentral:rRNA from 1 species
GAUGAACGCUGGCGGCGUGCCUAAUACAUGCCAGUCGAGCGAACGGACGAGAAGCUUGCUUUUCUGAUGUUAGCGGCGGACGGGUGAGUAACACGUGGAUAACCUACCUAUAAGACCGGGAUAACUUCGGGAAACCGGAGCUAAUACCGGAUAAUAUUUUGAACCGCAUGGUUCAAAAGUGAAAGACGGUCUUGCUGUCACUUAUAGAUGGAUCCGCGCUGCAUUAGCUAGUUGGUAAGGUAACGGCUUACCAAGGCAACGAUGCAUAGCCGACCUGAGAGGGUGAUCGGCCACACUGGAACUGAGACACGGUCCAGACUCCUACGGGAGGCAGCAGUAGGGAAUCUUCCGCAAUGGGCGAAAGCCUGACGGAGCAACGCCGCGUGAGUGAUGAAGGUCUUCGGAUCGUAAAACUCUGUUAUUAGGGAAGAACAUAUGUGUAAGUAACUGUGCACAUCUUGACGGUACCUAAUCAGAAAGCCACGGCUAACUACGUG